AGGGGCGCCAGAGCAGCGGGAUUAAGUGUAGAUGGGAAGGGAUUAGCCGUGUUGGUGGAAAGCGGCAAAAUUAAAUCAUGUACAUUUUACGAGGUAAGCUGAUCUCCAUGUUCUUCUGGAGGCUUUUGCUCUGCUCUCUGGGUAACGACUACAGCUCUAAGUAGCAGUGGUUUCAUCCUGCCUGUGUCUGGGGCCAUGUCUUCCUCGGUUUUUGUACCUUUCGGCACCUAGCAACAGGCAGCGAGCUAGGUAGAGGCAGAAUCAUUAUUUUCCGCUUGAAAUCAAACGUCUGAAAUUGAGGUUCAGAAUUCUGUUUCAUCACAGAGAUUUUGUGACAAUUCCCAGGGAAUCCAUGAACAAGGAAAUACAGUUCAAGGUUGAGGCUGUCAUGGAUGUGAGACUGUCCGUGUCCCAGUAAAUGCAAGCUGUAUUCCUCUGUGGGAACAGCUCUUUACAGUUUACAUGGUGGAUCAUUACAUUUGUCUCCUUUGGUCAUCGCCACCCUAUCCUCCCACCUCUGGUGAGGCACACAGCUACCAUUAGCCCCAUGUCACUUAGGAAAUUGAGACCAAGAGAGGCAGGCUGGAAGGAGAGAGUGAUGGGCAGUGAAGUGAAUGGAGACUGGGCACAAUCCUGAAUGCUACAUGCACAGCCCACCAGCACGCAGUGGUUGUAUCUCCUAGACAUGGAGUCAUUCUCUUUCCUUCAUAUUUGAACGGGAGUCAAAAAUCAAACAGAGCUCUGGUCUAACCAGCUGAGCUCUGGCCUAGUACCACCGCUGACAACACCUGGCUUUUGUGUAUAGGAGCAGACCAGGUCCCACCAUAGCCAUAUAAACUAGAGAACAGGACAUUUCCCUACAUGUAACAAGGGGAAUGAGGAGGAAUGAGGGACGCCAGAAAGCCCAAACCCCGAGACAUCCAUUACAUGAAGUAACCAGCCCAGAGACAGAGAGAGAGAGAUCUGAUAGAAAGCCAUGGUCCAGAGGAGAGACAGAGGGGCCUGAACUGGACCAGUGAAGACAGACAGAAAUAGAUCAGAAACUUGUAGUAGCUAAAACCCAGAAAUAAUUGGUGUAGGAUUCACUCUCAGAUAAGAGACGGCAAAGAUGAGGGUGACUCCCGUGUGUCUGGGUGGGCCCUGGGUAGGUGGGGGGAAGGCCCCUGUGUAUGAGGAACACAGCAUGGAGAGCCAGUGUGAGGGGCAGGACAGUGGACUCAGAUACAGCCAAGGGGUCAGGGUCACAGCCAAGUGGAGCCCAGCAGGCACUUGGAUCCGGGGUCUGGAGCUCAGGAAGAGAUUGGACUGGAAGUACUGGCCCAGGCACAUGGCUACUCAGAGAGUAAUGGGAAGCCCGAGAAUGAGGGAGAUCAUCAGAGACAGAAUGGGACAGGGCCCAGGGCAGAAUCAUGAGGUACAGUGACCUGUGAGGAAUCAGUCAAGGUGUGAGCAGGUGACAAAGGAAAAGAGAAGGAAGAACCUCAGAGAUGUGGACAAACAACUACGAGGGGGGUUGCCGGGGCAACCAAGGUAGCGAGGCAUUCCAGGGAGGAAGUAAUCAAUAUUGUCAAACACAGCAGAGAAUUCCAAAAAAGACGGACUUUUUUUUUCCUUUGAUCUCAUUAUUAGUAAGUUUUUGUUGACCUUAAUAAAAGCAUUUUGGGGGAGUAAUAGGGCAUAAACUGAACUAACGUUCAGAUGUGAGGGGGAGGUGAUUCUGUCACUAAGAGCCCUUUGAGGAGUCUGGAAGGGAGACUUGGAGAGGUGAAGGAUUAGGGGCAGAGAGUUUGAGCGUGGGAAAGAUAUGAGCAAGUUUAUAGGCAGACAUCAGCUCCCAGAUGCAACAAGCAUUGUUGAGUGACACAAUUUUUUCAUUCUACAUGUUCUAAUUUAAUGCCUAUCAUGUGCCUGGCAGAGUGCCUAGCAGCGUGGAUAUUUGGUAAAUGAAUUAGAAUCCCUGUUCCCAUGGAAGUUGUGUGGUAGGAGAGGAAAAAGACAGGAAUGAAAUAAUGGGCACACACCGAUAUGCAACAUGAAUGGGCACUCUGAAGGAGAGGAACUAAGUGCUGGAGGGUGUCCAACAAGGGGACCUGUCCUAGGCUGACUCCAGGAGCCUUCCCUGUGGCGGCGACACUCGAACCAAGUUGUUCAGAAGGGAAAGGAGUUAAGUGGACAGAGUAAACUAGGGAAAAGCGUUCUGGGCAGAGGGAACAGCCUGUGCAAAAGGAGAAGAGGUGAGACCAGAAAGCCAGGCGGUGCUGGUUGAGCAGGCUUUCGGAAGCCAGGACCGAGACCUGCUCUGGUAUGUCACUGUCAUCUGAGACUGGCUAUGCUAUGGAGAAAUCAGAAGGAGCACAAGGAGACUUCGGGAGACCAGUUAAGAAGUGUUUGGGUCAUGGUAGACAGAAUUUAGACAGUCAACAUAAUCUGGUUAGUCUUGGUGCUGAUGGAAUGAAGUAGGGCAGGGAGAGGAGGAGGAAUUCAGAAUGACCCCUGCAUUUCUGGCUUGCCAUACAGAUGAGGUGGGAGUGCCGUUCUCAGAAUUGGAAAGUCCUAAAAAGGGACAGGGUCUGUGAGGCCGACCCCAACUCUGGUAGUACACAGCUAAGACAUCCAAGUGGAGAUGGGAAGGAAGUGGCUGAAUACAUAUAUCCAGAGCAUAGAGUGAGAAAUUACAGAGAUGGGCUCAGAGCUCCUGAGGGAUCCCAAAUGUGAAUUAAAGCAGUGUCAGGUUUCUGGAACAUUCUGAGGCUAUGAAAGGUGGCUGAGGAAGAAGAGGCCUGAAAUGGUGCCCAAGAAGCACCAACACUUGGGAGCUGUAAAAGGAAAGAAGAAUCCUCCUAGGGCACUGAAGAGAAAGGACCAGGGAGGCCUUUCAAACCAGAAGGAUGACGUGGUCAGCAGAGAGGUCAGGUGGGGGGGGUGUGGCUGAUCUGUGGGCCCCUCUCAUGUCCAACUGCCCAGUUGCCACGGUGGCCCUGAUGAUCAGCACCCACCAGGGCCCAUGCUCUGAGACCUUUUGGGGACUUUGACCAAGACUCUUAAGGAAGAGGGAACAAAUUCUAAGGCCUUUUCAUUUUAAUCUUAAAGGAGAGCAAUGCUGGUGUAUGAAUAUUCUGAGUGAAGCAAGCCUGAGUGAUGAAGCAAUUAAGGGCAGAGACAAUUAGUGUGAAAUGAGCUCCCGAAGGGGCCGGGAUCAAGUCCAGUGGUGGAUAAAUUCAUUGGGGGCCGUAAUGUGUAUUAGACCAAAUGGGGCAAAAUGAAAUUAUUUACCUUUUAGAGAGUGACUUGAUCUCCAUGUUCUUUUGGGAGCUUUAAUCUGACCUGUGUACUGACUAUAGUGCUAAUUAAGUCAGUUUUAUCCUGUCUUGUGGCUGGGAUUGUGUCUUCGUUUUCUUGUUUCUCAGCACCUAACGACAGGCAAUAAGCAAUUUGGGUGCCAAAUCGGUAUUUUCUGCUUUGGGAUCAAAUAUCUGAAGUCAACACUCAAACUCUCUGACCAAAGAGAAUAUGUGACAAUUCUUCAGAAGUUACAAUGCAGGAAAGAACUGGGGCAUGAAGUCAUGAGGUUUGGGUGAGUGGAGGGAAGAAGGCAGGGGUUUGGGUGAGUGGAGGGAAAGCGGAGGUACCAGCUCCCCUCAUCCUUUUAAGCUCUGUGCCAUUUGUGUAUAUUCGCAUUCCUCAUCCCAACUGAACCUCACAUCCCCCCACAAGAUAAAGCAUGACCCAAUUUCAGAGAGGAGGAAACAGACGCCAGAGGAGGAAGUGCCUUACUGACACAGAGCACAAGUGGCGGGAGCUAGAUUCAGAACUCAGUGCAGCUAGUGUAACAGUCCUUCCCACGACCAGGCUGAGCCAGAGAGAAAGAGGGAGAGAGGGGGUCCAGGAGCCAGAGGUAGAGAUGCUCUGCGGGCACGUGCAGAGGGGUGGACGCACAGUCCAACUCCAGACCUACCGGAUAUUAAAGCAUCAAAUCCAACCGCAGUGAUGAAAUCUACAGUGUGAGAACAAGAGCGAGGAGCGUUCUUGUUUAAACUUCCCCACCGCAUGAAUGAUAUGUACAUUCUCUAUUUGCAUCUCAAGCUUCCGUAUUCUUAAAAACUUAAGUCUUUAAUCCAUCUGAAAUGUAUUUUUGCGUAUGGUGUGACACAGAGAUCUGAUCUGAUCUUUUUCCAGAUGGAUAACCAGCUUGCUAAGCACCAUUUAUUGUCCCAACACCAUCUUUUCUCCCAGUUCCCUAUGUCUAGACUCUAUUCAGAUCUGUUGAUCUGUUCGUCUACUUCUGGGCCAAUACCAGACUUGAAUGAGCAGAGCUUUCUCUUACUGCCUGAUGAGACAUGGUGUGUACACACUGGAGGUAUAGCUUGUUGAAGCUGGCGACUGGAGGCCAUAACCGAUUACACCACGUACGCACACACGAAGUAAUCGUUCUUCCUCCCUGGGCACAAGCAUGUGAGCAGAGCCAAACACAGGGCUGGCGUAACAGGCGGCAAACAAAUGAGAAUCUUUUCAAAUUAUACUUUAAUUAAACACACAAAGCAUGAAUACAUUCUCCUUUUUAAAAGUAGAAUAUGAAUACAGCCAAAGUUUUCCUUGGCCACCCUCCGAAACCCUAGUUUCCUACCCCCUCCACAACUUUAUGCAUCUCCUUUCAUAGAAAUAUAUAGUACUCAUGUAGAUAGUUUGAAUGAAUCAUCUCACUUUAUAAGGAUUUUACUGGAAGCUGCAUUUUCUUGCUCAAUCGUAUAUUUUUAGGAUAUACUCAAACUGAUGUAAAUGGCUCUUGCCAGUUCCUUUUAAUAGCUGUAUUGUACUCAUUCCUCUGUUGAUACCACAUUCUCUCUCCUCUAAGAUCCAGGCACAAAUGCGGUGGCCUCCUUUUCUUUCCUCCAUCAUAAGAAGCGCUGCAGAAAACAGCCUUGCACAUGCUGGCUCUGUAAUUUUUCUCUAGGAUUGAGAAUGGACUUUGGGGUCUCAAGGUGUCCACAUUUGUAGUUUUAACAGACACUACCGAUGUGUCCUCCUUAAUUUCUGUACCAUUUCAACUUGCAGUAAGAGGAUAGGAGAGGACUCAAAUCCCCACACCAUAAGCAGCUGUUUUAAAUAUUUGCCAAUCUGAUGGGCAAAAAAUGGAAGCAUUUUUUUUUUUAAUAUUUCUGUAUACCUGUUUGCAAGUGAGAUUUUCCUGGGCACUUGCUGUUUGUAUUUCCCUUUUCUGAAUUAUCUGUUUGUUUUUGCUCAUUAAAAAAAUUAGAUGGUUUGUCUUUAUCUUAUUGAUUUGUGGAAUUUCCUAAUCUAAUCUGGAUAGUGAUCUCUUGUAUAUACACAGCAAAUAUUUUCUUCCAGCUCCUCUGUGGCCUUUAACUCUUUGUAGGCUCCUUUAGACAGAAGUUAUUAAUUUUGACCUAAUCAAAUGUGUCAGUCUUUUCCUUUAUUCCUUUUACAUAUAUAUCACACUUGUGCCUUUCUCACUCCUACAUUUAAAUAUAUUGUGUAUUCUUUCCUUUU